AUGACGUAAACACUUAUGAAGAUCUCCAAUCAAUCUGCUCCUGAUUAAUUAAGUACGAUAAAUCGAUAAUUCACGCCAAGAUGGUGUACAAACCUUAGUUGUUGGUCGGUUUCCACAGAUUCUUUUCGAAAGGUUAUAACUUCCGCAUAAGCGAAUGGUGAUGAUGUUUACCAAAAAUACUCAAAAACACACCACACUACACUGGGAUAGAAUAAUCGCUCAAUAAAUUCCCUUUUUCUAAGAAAAAUGCACCAAUCGUCCACGCACAAACUGGUUUUCCGAGUUCGACGUCACGCCACAUGUUUUCAAA
rnacentral:lncRNA from 1 species